rnacentral:rRNA from 1 species
CAGUAGCCGCGGGAAUACGAAGGGGGCUAGCGUUGUUCGGAUUUACUGGGCGUAAAGGGCGCGUAGGCGGACUGAUAAGUCAGGGGUGAAAUCCCAAGGCUCAACCUUGGAACUGCCUUUGAUACUGUUUGUCUUGAGUUCGAGAGAGGUAAGUGGAACUGCGAGUGUAGAGGUGAAAUUCGUAGAUAUUCGGAGGAACACCAGUGGCGAAGGCGGCUCACUGGUCCAUUACUGACGCUGAGGUGCGAAAGCGUGGGGAGCAAAUGGGAUUAGAUACCCCGGUAGUCCCUGUCUCUUAUAC